rnacentral:snRNA from 1 species
AUCGCUUCUCGCCUUCUCAGGCUUAGAUCGAAGUGUAGUAUCUGUUCUCGUCGGUUUGAAAGCCGGCGCCGUCUUACGAGACUGGGCUGUUUCAAACGGAUUUUUGGACAUGUGCUGUGGAAUCGUAGGGUUCACCCUCAUCCAUAGCACAGAUCUUCUCGACACAGCAGUGCCGUCGAGAAUGGUCAACUCUUU